UAGAGUUUGAUCCUGGCUCAGGACGAACGCUGGCGGCGUGCUUAACACAUGCAAGUCGAACGGUGAAGCCCUUCGGGGUGGAUCAGUGGCGAACGGGUGAGUAACACGUGGGCAAUCUGCCCUGCACUCUGGGACAAGCCCUGGAAACGGGGUCUAAUACCGGAUAUGACCAUUGACCGCAUGGUUGGUGGUGUAAAGCUCCGGCGGUGCAGGAUGAGCCCGCGGCCUAUCAGCUUGUUGGUGGGGUGAUGGCCUACCAAGGCGACGACGGGUAGCCGGCCUGAGAGGGCGACCGGCCACACUGGGACUGAGACACGGCCCAGACUCCUACGGGAGGCAGCAGUGGGGAAUAUUGCACAAUGGGCGCAAGCCUGAUGCAGCGACGCCGCGUGAGGGAUGACGGCCUUCGGGUUGUAAACCUCUUUCAGCAGGGAAGAAGCGCAAGUGACGGUACCUGCAGAAGAAGCACCGGCUAACUACGUGCCAGCAGCCCCGGUCAA
rnacentral:rRNA from 1 species